AGCUGGUCUGAGAGGAUGAUCAGCCAGAGGGAGACUGAGACACGGCUCCCACUCCUACGGGAGGCAGCAGUAAAGAAUCUUCCACGAUGGGCGAAAGCCUGAUGGAGCGACACCGCGUGCCAGAUGAAGGCCUUCGGGUUGUAAAUGGCUUUUCUGAGCGAAGAAUUAUGACUGUAACUUAGGAAUAAGCACCGGCUAACUCCGUGCCAGCAGCCGCGGUAAUACGGAGGGUGCAAACGUUACCCGGAAUUAUUGGGCGUAAAGCGUCCGUAGGCGGCGUAGUAAGUCAGAUGUGAAAUCUUGAGGCUCAACUUCAAGUUUGUAUCCGAUACUGCUAUGCUAGAGUCUUGGAGAGGUGAGUGGAAUUCUACAUGUAGGGGUAAAAUCCGUAGAUAUGUAGAGGAACACCAAAAGCGAAGGCAGCUCACUGGCCAAGUACUGACGCUGAUGGACGAAAGCGUGGGGAGCAAACGGGAUUAGAUACCCCGGUAGUCCACGCCGUAAACGAUGAUCACUCGAUGUCGGGGGUUCGACCCUCUCGGUGUCUAAGCUAACGCGAUAAGUGAUCCGCCUGUGGAGUACGGCCGCAAGGCUAAAACAUAAAGGAAUAGACGGGGACCCACACAAGCGGUGGAGCGUGUGGUUUAAUUCGAUAAUAAGCGGGGAACCUUACCCAGGCUUGACAUCUUCUGGAUACACCCGAAAGGGAGUAGUGCCGUAAGGAACAGAAUGACAGGUGCUGCAUGGUUGCCGUCAGCUCGUGCCUUGAGGUGUUCGGUUAAGUCCGUAAACGAGCGCAACCCUUGUCCUUAGUUGUAUUUCUCUAGGGAGACUGCCUGGCAUAACCAGGAGGAAGGUAAGGAUGACGUCAAAUCAGCAUGGCCCUUAUGCCUGGGGCGACACACGCGCUACAAUGGCCAGUACAACGGGCAGCCAAGGAGCAAUCCGGAGCGAAUCCCACAAAACUGGUCUAAGUUCGGAUUGAGGGCUGCAACUCGCCCUUAUGAAGUUGGAAUCGCUAGUAA
rnacentral:rRNA from 1 species